rnacentral:snRNA from 1 species
GUAUUUACCUGGCAGGGGAGAGACCAUGAUCAUGAAGGUGGUUUUCCCAGGAUAAAGCUUAUCCAUGGCAGUCCAGAUGUGUUGACUUCUGAGAUUUCCCCAAGUGUAGGAAAUGUGUAGAAUUUGUGGUAUGCAUUUGCACU